UACAGAGACCUCAAGCGUUAUCCGGAAUCAUUGGGCGUAAAGCGUACCGAUAGGUGGUUUACCAAGUCAGAUGUGAAAUCUCCGAGCUUAACUCGGAAUCUGUCAUUUGAAACUGGUAGACUAGAGGGGCAAAGAGGAAGCUGGAACGAAACGGUGUAGUAGUGAAAAUGCGUUAUAUCGUUCGGAACACCAAUAGCGAAGGCGGGCUUCUGGGUGCCCACCUGACACUGCUAGGAGAAAAGCGUGGGGUACGAAUGGGG
rnacentral:rRNA from 1 species